rnacentral:lncRNA from 1 species
ACCAAAUCGGUUGAUGGAUCGGUUAACCAAUUAAUCGAUCCGGUUAAACGGUUAACCGGUCCAAACCGAUUAAUUCGCAUUUUUUCAAUAUGUUCAAAUUAACCGGUUAAUUUUAUUUAAAAAAAUUCAAAUUUAUAGAAUUUGAGCAAUAGGAUUUGAAUUCUUGACAUUUGAAAGAAAGAAUGGGGUCUUAUCCACUCCACCAACUCAUAACUUGUGAUUAUUUAGAACAAAUAUUUUUUAUAGAGACUUGUAAUUUUAUAUUAAAAGAAAGAACAAUUCUAAUAAGUUGUGAUCUUCUUCACGUGCGUCUUCUUUGAGUUCACGUAUUUCAACUUCCUCAAACAUAUCAUCGUCUUCAAUUCCAAGCAGACCAAGACUAUAACUAACUUGUUGUGUGAUAGAUUGUGAUCCAUCUUCAACUCUCUCCAUCUAAUUGAGAAACAUAAAACGUUAGUCACCAAAUGAUAUGUGAAGCAUUGACUUUGUUUGCACUAUUCAUAAUGGUGUUUUUUAUAUUGUAGCGUUCUGCAUUCCUGUCUUUCUCAUUUUUGAGUUUAGCACACAGCUCAUUCUUUUUCAUUCUACUUCUUAUUAAUAAACAAUUAUCAAUUGUCAUCAACAAAAACAAAGUCCAGAAGAUUGAUGAAAAAAGAUCAAAUAUCCACAAGUAAAGACUCAGUUGCAAGUGCAACAUAAGAGUAAUAAUCUUAAACAUUGUUGUCGAGACAUGAUUUCCACCCAUUUAUUAAUGAUAAGUAUGCCAAUGAGCCUAUCAUGAGAUGCCAAAAUUAAGCAAGUUCAUCACUAUUAUACUUUCCUUAACCUCAAAUAAGCCACUAUCAUUCAGUAGCAACUCGCAACAUUAAAAAAUCAUAAGCAAUAUUAGAUUCUAGUAAUCUUCCAUCCACAUCCAGACGUACUUAUCAAUUAGUGAAUAUAAACAUUAAUCCAUUCACAUGAAAUAAGCUUUACAGAUAACUAAAUAGCUAAUAUGAUGAUUUGAGAAUCACUAAAUCAAAUAGCGAACAUAAACAAUACCAAAUUACUAAAAUAAUCAACCAAACUCUCAAAAUACAAUCAAAUAACUCAAUAAAAUUUCAAUGAUUUUGCAGAUUUACAGUGCAUUGGAUUCACUGUGACUGACUUUGCACUACUCACAUCAAUUUAUGAAUGAAGAAGCUUAAACUUACCUUUCAAGAAGUAGAACUAUAGAAGCCGUGUUGGCGUGGUCGCCGGAGUCAAGGGCGUGUCUUGUCGUGCUGGUGUGGCCGCCGGAGUUGAGGUGCUGGUGCUGGGAGACGGCUGGGAGACGGCGGUGGCUGGAAUCGCCGGAAUGGGCUGGUGCUAGACCUGCUAGUGCGACCCUGUGGCCUGGGCUGCUGGGGCCUGGGAGGCUGAACGCGACUGCUGCGGCUGCGGCGGCUGGGAUGUCGGAGGUGGCUGGAAUCGCCGGAACCGGAAUGGCAGAAACCAGAAAGAAGGAGGUCGCGGCGCAGACAGAUUAACAGAGAAAGAAGCAAGUCGCGGCACAAGCCCUAGUCUUGUGUGAAUUUGUGAUUUCAUUUUUAAUUAU